AGUCUGAGCCGCAGCCGCCGCCUCCUCCGCUCGCCCUCCUCCCUGGCGCUGACCGAUGGACCAGCCGCUCCGUGGGGAGGACUCCGGACCCUGAUUCUUCGCUGCUGCUGCCUUACCGCCGAGAACCACCACCCGCCAGGCGUCUUGCGGCCACACCCCUGGCGGGUUCAGGCAGGCUACGCCCACGCGACCCCUCCCGUUUCCCUGCUUUGGCCAAUGGAGGAGCUACGAAUGGCACGACCUGCUCGAGCUUGGCAGUCUCCAGUUGGGCUGUGCAUGGAAGCUUGGGAAGACUUUGUUGGAAGGGGAGGCGGGGAGAGAGUGCUGGAGGCUCUGGGGCGAUGGCUUCCGCACCUCUUCCAACCACCCUCUUUCCCUGGAGUCGGCGGACCACAGCUCAGCCAAUUGGCUUGGAGAUGUGGCGGGUUGCCACUUCCCUGUGGGUCUCUGCGGCACUCUUCUGCCUGGUGACUGACACCUUGGAAAUGAAGUUUAUGACGUCAUCGUUGCGGCUGGCCAAUAGAAAAAGCUCCCGCGGAGAGGUGUUCCU
rnacentral:lncRNA from 1 species